rnacentral:rRNA from 1 species
CUACGUGCCAGCAGCCGCGGUAAUACGUAGGUCCCGAGCGUUGUCCGGAUUUAUUGGGCGUAAAGCGAGCGCAGGCGGUUUGAUAAGUCUGAAGUUAAAGGCUGUGGCUCAACCAUAGUUCGCUUUGGAAACUGUCAAACUUGAGUGCAGAAGGGGAGAGUGGAAUUCCAUGUGUAGCGGUGAAAUGCGUAGAUAUAUGGAGGAACACCGGUGGCGAAAGCGGCUCUCUGGUCUGUAACUGACGCUGAGGCUCGAAAGCGUGGGGAGCGAACAGGAUUAGAUACCCUGGUAGUCCACGCCGUAAACGAUGAGUGCUAGGUGUUGGAUCCUUUCCGGGAUUCAGUGCCGCAGCUAACGCAUUAMGCACUCCGCCUGGGGAGUACGMCCGCAAGGUUGAAACUCAAAGGAAUUGACGGGGGCCCGCACAAGCGGUGGAGUAUGUGGUUUAAUUCGACGCAACGCGAAGAMCCUU